UGUUGAUGGCGGCCAGUAGGGUAGUUACUACAGCGCAUACUGAUCAUGAAAAACGUAGGUGAUAGAGUUUUCUAAGUUUGGUGCACAUUUUAAUCACAUAACUUUUACUGUCAAGGAAUAAAUCAAUUUAGUGAGAUCAUUAAUUUUUUAUUUAACUCCAAUUAUUUCUUUCACAGCGAAAAGCUAUUGAAAGAUUUUGUGCAGAGGUAAAAAGGCGGUGCCAUGCUGAAAAGAGGAAGGAUUUUGUGUCUGGAGCCUACUUGCUCACCUUAGGAAAAUUUAUCCAUACGUUUGCGGUGCUAGAUAAACUGAAAAACAUGAAAUCAUGUGUGAAAAAUGAUUAUUCUACCUAGUGUCGUGCCGCCCAGUUCUCGAAAGUUAUGGCAGAUUCACACAUCCUGCAAGAGUCGCAGAAUUCAUCCAUGUUUCUCGCUUCGCAGAACAAAAUUCGAGACACGGUGAAAGAGAAUUUGGAAAAAAUAAUCGGUUACAAAGAGCUUCUGUCUGAUGUUGUCAAUCUGUGUGUGCACAUGUUCGAAACAAAGAUGUACCUGACUCCCACCGAAAAGCACAUGCUGGUUAAAGUUGUCGGAAAAUUGGAAGCUACAUUUCGUUCGUGCGUUAGUUAUUCGCUUGGUUUUUGUCUGUUUUUCUAACUUAAUAAAUUGGAAGAUGCAAAGAUCCAGUUGGACGCGAAUAUUAAGUUCACUUUUCUGGAAUGUUAUUUCGAAUGAUGAAGUAAAAGUUCAGCGGUAAACACCAUUCACUACAAUAUCAAACUGCUGAUCCAACAGUGGCUCAAACAAAAACAUUAAGAAAUCCAAAACAUCUACUGUGCAUGAAGUGUGAAGUUAACUUUUAACGUAGGUAGCACUAUAUAUUAAAGUGUUGUUUACUCCCUUUUAUUAUAAUUGAAUUGAUGUUUGAUUUUAUCACCUGGGAACAAAGUCUUCU